rnacentral:rRNA from 1 species
UUGAAGAGUUUGAUCAUGGCUCAGAUUGAACGCUGGCGGCAGGCCUAACACAUGCAAGUCGAACGGUAACAGGAAACAGCUUGCUGUUUCGCUGACGAGUGGCGGACGGGUGAGUAAUGUCUGGGAAACUGCCUGAUGGAGGGGGAUAACUACUGGAAACGGUAGCUAAUACCGCAUAACGUCGCAAGACCAAAGAGGGGGACCUUCGGGCCUCUUGCCAUCGGAUGUGCCCAGAUGGGAUUAGCUAGUAGGUGGGGUAACGGCUCACCUAGGCGACGAUCCCUAGCUGGUCUGAGAGGAUGACCAGCCACACUGGAACUGAGACACGGUCCAGACUCCUACGGGAGGCAGCAGUGGGGAAUAUUGCACAAUGGGCGCAAGCCUGAUGCAGCCAUGCCGCGUGUAUGAAGAAGGCCUUCGGGUUGUAAAGUACUUUCAGCGGGGAGGAAGGGAGUAAAGUUAAUACCUUUGCUCAUUGACGUUACCCGCAGAAGAAGCACCGGCUAACUCCGUGCCAGCAGCCGCGGUAAUACGGAGGGUGCAAGCGUUAAUCGGAAUUACUGGGCGUAAAGCGCACGCAGGCGGUUUGUUAAGUCAGAUGUGAAAUCCCCGGGCUCAACCUGGGAACUGCAUCUGAUACUGGCAAGCUUGAGUCUCGUAGAGGGGGGUAGAAUUCCAGGUGUAGCGGUGAAAUGCGUAGAGAUCUGGAGGAAUACCGGUGGCGAAGGCGGCCCCCUGGACGAAGACUGACGCUCAGGUGCGAAAGCGUGGGGAGCAAACAGGAUUAGAUACCCUGGUAGUCCACGCCGUAAACGAUGUCGACUUGGAGGUUGUGCCCUUGAGGCGUGGCUUCCGGAGCUAACGCGUUAAGUCGACCGCCUGGGGAGUACGGCCGCAAGGUUAAAACUCAAAUGAAUUGACGGGGGCCCGCACAAGCGGUGGAGCAUGUGGUUUAAUUCGAUGCAACGCGAAGAACCUUACCUGGUCUUGACAUCCACGGAAGUUUUCAGAGAUGAGAAUGUGCCUUCGGGAACCGUGAGACAGGUGCUGCAUGGCUGUCGUCAGCUCGUGUUGUGAAAUGUUGGGUUAAGUCCCGCAACGAGCGCAACCCUUAUCCUUUGUUGCCAGCGGUCCGGCCGGGAACUCAAAGGAGACUGCCAGUGAUAAACUGGAGGAAGGUGGGGAUGACGUCAAGUCAUCAUGGCCCUUACGACCAGGGCUACACACGUGCUACAAUGGCGCAUACAAAGAGAAGCGACCUCGCGAGAGCAAGCGGACCUCAUAAAGUGCGUCGUAGUCCGGAUUGGAGUCUGCAACUCGACUCCAUGAAGUCGGAAUCGCUAGUAAUCGUGGAUCAGAAUGCCACGGUGAAUACGUUCCCGGCCUUGUACACACCGCCCGUCACACCAUGGGAGUGGGUUGCAAAAGAAGUAGGUAGCUUAACCUUCGGGAGGGCGCUUACCACUUUGUGAUUCAUGACUGGGGUGAAGUCGUAACAAGGUAACCGUAGGGGAACCUGCGGUUGGAUCACCUCCUU